rnacentral:rRNA from 1 species
ACAUCGGUGACAGUGGUGCAUGGUUGUCGUCAGCUCGUGUCGUGAGAUGUUGGUUAAGUCCCGCAACGAGCGCAACCCCUAUUGUUAGUUGCCAUCAUUCAGUUGGGCACUCUAGCGAGACUGCCGGUAAUAAACCGGAGGAAGGUGGGGAUGACGUCAAAUCAUCAUGCCCCUUAUGACCUGGGCUACACACGUGCUACAAUGGUUGGUACAACGAGUUGCGAGUCGGUGACGGCGAGCUAAUCUCUUAAAGCCAAUCUCAGUUCGGAUUGUAGGCUGCAACUCGCCUACAUGAAGUCGGAAUCGCUAGUAAUCGCGGAUCAGCACGCCGCGGUGAAUACGUUCCCGGGCCUU